UUAGUGGCGGACGGGUGAGUAACGCGUGGAAAACCUGCCGUACACUGGGGGAUAACACUUAGAAAUAGGUGCUAAUACCGCAUAAGCGCACAGCUUCGCAUGAAGCGGUGUGAAAAACUCUGGUGGUAUACGAUGGUUCCGCGUCUGAUUAGCUAGUUGGUGGGGUAAUGGCCUACCAAGGCAACGAUCAGUAGCCGGCCUGAGAGGGUGAACGGCCACAUUGGGACUGAGACACGGCCCAAACUCCUACGGAAGGCAGCAG
rnacentral:rRNA from 1 species